GAUCCAGCCAUGCCGCGUGUGUGAAGAAGGCCUUUUGGUUGUAAAGCACUUUAAGCAGUGAAGAAGACUCUUCGGUUAAUACCCGGAGACGAUGACAUUAGCUGCAGAAUAAGCACCGGCUAACUCUGUGCCAGCAGCCGCGGUAAUACAGAGGGUGCAAGCGUUAAUCGGAAUUACUGGGCGUAAAGCGAGCGUAGGUGGCUUGAUAAGUCAGAUGUGAAAUCCCCGGGCUUAACCUGGGAACUGCAUCUGAUACUGUCAGGCUAGAGUAGGUGAGAGGAAGGUAGAAUUCCAGGUGUAGCGGUGAAAUGCGUAGAGAUCUGGAGGAAUACCGAUGGCGAAGGCAGCCUUCUGGCAUCAUACUGACACUGAGGCUCGAAAGCGUGGGUAGCAAACAGGAUUAGAUACCCUGGUAGUCCACGCCGUAAACGAUGUCUACUAGUCGUUGGGUCCCUUGAGGACUUAGUGACGCAGCUAACGCAAUAAGUAGACCGCCUGGGGAGUACGGCCGCAAGGUUAAAACUCAAAUGAAUUGACGGGGGCCCGCACAAGCGGUGGAGCAUGUGGUUUAAUUCGAUGCAACGCGAAGAACCUUACCUGGUCUUGACAUAUCUAGAAUCCUGCAGAGAUGCGGGAGUGCCUUCGGGAAUUAGAAUACAGGUGCUGCAUGGCUGUCGUCAGCUCGUGUCGUGAGAUGUUGGGUUAAGUCCCGCAACGAGCGCAACCCUUGUCCUUAGUUACCAGCGGGUUAAGCCGGGAACUCUAAGGAUACUGCCAGUGACAAACUGGAGGAAGGCGGGGACGACGUCAAGUCAUCAUGGCCCUUACGACCAGGGCUACACACGUGCUACAAUGGUAGGUACAGAGGGCAGCUACACAGCGAUGUGAUGCGAAUCUCAAAAAGCCUAU
rnacentral:rRNA from 1 species